GCGUGCCUUUUGAAGAAUGAGCCUGCGAGUUAUGGUGUGUGGCGAGGUUAACCCGGGUGGGGUAGCCGUAGCGAAAGCGAGUCUGAAGAGGGCGUUUGAGUCGCAUGCUGUAGACCCGAAGCGGAGUGAUCUACCCAUGGGCAGGUUGAAGCGCGGGUAAGACCGUGUGGAGGACCGAACCCACCAGGGUUGAAAACCUGGGGGAUGACCUGUGGGUAGGGGUGAAAGGCCAAUCAAACUCCGUGAUAGCUGGUUCUCCCCGAAAUGCAUUUAGGUGCAGCGUCGCGUGUUUCUUGCCGGAGGUAGAGCACUGGAUGGCCGAUGGGCCCGACAAGGUUACUGACGUCAGCCAAACUCCGAAUGCCGGUAAGUGAGAGCGUGGCAGUGAGACUGUGGGGGAUAAGCUCCAUGGUCGAGAGGGAAACAGCCCAGACCACCGACUAAGGCCCCUAAGCGUGUGCUAAGUGGGAAAGGAUGUGGAGUUGCUGUGACAACCAGGAGGUUGGCUUAGAAGCAGCCAUCCUUGAAAGAGUGCGUAAUAGCUCACUGGUCAAGUGAUUCCGCGCCGACAAUGUAGCGGGGCUCAAGUACACCGCCGAAGUCGUGGCAUCCACACGUCAGCCUAGCCUUUGUGGUUCAGGUGUGUGGGUGGGUAGGGGAGCGUCGUGUCGCGGGUGAAGCCGCC
rnacentral:rRNA from 2 species